UACGGAGGGUGCAAGCGUUAUCCGGAUUCACUGGGUUUAAAGGGUGCGUAGGCGGUUUUGUAAGUCUUGUGUGGAAUCUUCAGGCUCAACUUGAAGACUGCACGAGAAACUGCAGGGCUUGAGUGUGGGAGAGGUGAGUGGAAUUCCUGGUGUAGCGGUGAAAUGCGUAGAUAUCAGGAGGAACACCUGUGGCGAAAGCGGCUCACUGGACCACAACUGACGCUGAUGCACGAAAGCUAGGGGAGCAAACAGG
rnacentral:rRNA from 1 species